ensembl:lncRNA
CAUGCCUAUUCUAGACCCACAUCACCAGUCCUCACCUCUACCACCGUAUCUCUCUAAGCCCCAGAAGUAGAGGGUCACUUGGGCAGGAAGUCGUCCACCUUCAGGUUGCCCACGUACCAGAAGUUCAGGCUGAGAAACAUGAUGAUGGUUCUGGAGAAGACCAAGAGGUCCCAGAAGCUGAAGGGAGCAAAGAUGCCCAGGAAGAACAGAAUGAGGCCUGUAGCGUCCAGGAAGAUGGAUGUGAAGAAGAGAAGGCAGCGACCCAGCUGAGUGUCGGUACAGGUGCUGAGUGUAGGUACAGGUGCUGAGUGUCGGUACAGGUAGAGGUGCUGAGUGUCGGUAAAAGUACAGGUGCUGAGUGUCGGUUCAGGUGCUGAGUGUUGGUACAGGUACAGGUACAGGUGCUGAGUGUAGGUACAGGUGCUGAGUGUAGGUACAGGUGCCGAGUGUUGGUUCAGGUGCCGAGUGUCGGUGCAGGUUCUGAGUGUAGGUACAGGUGCUGAGUGUCGGUACAGGUGCUGAGUGUCGGUACAGGUGCUGAGUGUAGGUACAGGUGCUGAGUGUAGGUACAGGUGCUGAGUGUAGGUACAGGUACUGAGUGUCGGUACAGGUGCUGAGUGUCGGUACAAGUGCUGAGUGUAGGCUCAGGUACAGGUACAAGUGCUGAGUGUAGGUACAGGUACAAGUGCUGAGUGUAGGUACAGGUACAGGUGCUGAGUGUUGGUACAGGUACAAGUGCUGAGUGUAGGUACAGGUACAAGUGCUGAGUAUAGGUACAGGUACAAGUGCUGAGUGUAGGUACAGGUACAGGUGCUGAGUGUAGGUACAGGUACUGAGUGUUGGUACAGGUACUGAGUGUCGGUACAGGUGCCGAGUGUCGGUACAGGUGCCGAGUGUCGGUACAGGUGCCGAGUGUCGGUACAAGUGCUGAGUGUAGGCUCAGGUACAGGUACAAGUGCUGAGUGUAGGUACAGGUACAGGUGCUGAGUGUAGGUACAGGUACAAGUGCUGAGUGUAGGUACAGGUACAGGUGCUGAGUGUUGGUACAGGUACAAGUGCUGAGUGUAGGUACAGGUACUGAG